GUACGAGAGGACCGGGAUGGACGCACCGCUGGUGUACCAGUUGUUCUGCCAAGGGCAUCGCUGGGUAGCUAUGUGCGGACGGGAUAAGUGCUGAAAGCAUCUAAGCAUGAAGCCCCCCUCAAGAUGAGAUUUCCCAUUCCGCAAGGAAGUAAGAUCCCUGAAAGAUGAUCAGGUUGAUAGGUCUGAGGUGGAAGUGUGGCGACACAUGGAGCUGACAGAUACUAAUCGAUCGAGGACUUAACCUAAA
rnacentral:rRNA from 1 species